AAACACUGCAAUAACUUUGAAGAAGAAAAGACAUCUAUGUCAGACACUAGAGAAAGUCAAAUGCUUACUAGUACUAGCUACAUUGCAAAAGAAGUAUACGUCAAAAGAAAAGAGGACUGCUACAGAAGCCAGGUGUGGUGGUGUGGUCCUGGAACUUCAGCAGAGAGAGAGAGAGAGAGAGGGAGAGGGAGAGAGAGAGAGAGAGAGAGAGAGAGAGAGAGAGAGAGAGAGAGAGAGAGAGAGAGAGAGACUAAGACAGGAGAGGAGGCUCACGCAGUUCAAGGCCAUACUCUGCUAUGUAACAAGACCUGAUCUCAAAGACAAGAAAGACAGAAAACAUAUAUACAGAGAUUUUACAAACAAUCUACCUCCUAGAAAGCAAGUGAAAUGGAGUCAAGGACUUCAGUGGAAGAAAAGAAAAAGUGUCAGAAAACCAAUAGGAUGGUCAGAAAACCCUUCUGGGACAAACAGAAACCAAAACACAUCUUGAAGCUACUCUUCCUCAUCUAACUGCUGCCUCCAGUCUGAACCCAGAAAGUUCUUGAUUAUUUGAACUGAUUGUCGAUCAGGGUCCCCUUCAUUUUUGCUUUCUUGGCUUCCAAUUCAGCCAACUCCUGCAGCCUCCUCUUGCUCAGGCCUUUGCGCUCCAGCUGCUUUUCAAUCACUUUGGCAUUCUGCGCGUAAGAGUCAGCAACUUCCCUAGCCUCUAUCUCCUCUUCUUCUUCAUCAAUGGUAGACACAGUAACAGAGCUGAACUUGCCCAUGUCUUUAGUCCUUUUGGUCAUCAUAACCUUCUUAGGAGGCUCUUGUUUCUGAGUAUAUAUAUUGGUUUUCCCAAAGCCUUGGCCAAAUUUCACUACUGCUCCAUCCACAAUGAAGGUCACAGGAGCAUUCUUCGGCUGGGAUUGGUAGAAGAGCGGCAGUCCACACUUUGCACACUUCUUCCUGUACUGACGUUCAAUGCCCUCAGGCCUCCGAAGAUAAGUAGUCUCCUCAUCUUCUGUGUUACAAAACUUGUGAGCAUGUUUGGCAGCAUCGAUCACGCGAGACCGGUCCCGGGGCCUCAUGGGCAAUUUCUCUAACUGGCAAUCCAGCACCAGGACCAUCUGGCCACAUAAACAGUAGUAGACAUGGAGGGGCUUCUCGCCAUCAUCAUAUUCCUCGCGGUUCCGGGUGUCUGAGCAGACCACCGACCGCGACACGACUUUCGGCAUAGCUCCGGCAGAGCAGCCAGAAAACUCCCAGAAAAUGAAGAGUCGCGCCGAGAUGGCGUCACAGACACUCCGGCAUGAGUCGCCUUAGCAGACCUGUACUGAGGACUUACAAAGAACAGCUAAUAUGUGGAGUGCAGAGGCAAAUCAAACAGGGGUGCUAACCUUCACCAUACUUACUGUCUAGCGAUAAAGAAAGAAGUACAUCUUCAAAAAACACCCUGAGAAGGGUGUGCUCUUAGAGUGUGGCCAUCCGCAAUUGAAGGCAAACUCUUCUGUGUGCAGAGAAGAG
rnacentral:lncRNA from 1 species